rnacentral:tRNA from 1 species
CUCCCCUAGUCGGAUUUGAACCAGCGACCUAAGGAUCACCGUUGUAACAUCUACAGUCCUCCGCUCUGCCAACUGAGCUAUCGAGGGA